rnacentral:sRNA from 1 species
AUUAUAUUUGAAAUCAUUUUUACAAUUAAUAUCAUAUA